rnacentral:rRNA from 1 species
UACGAAGGGGGCUAGCGUUGCUCGGAAUCACUGGGCGUAAAGCGCACGUAGGCGGAUCUUUUAAGUCAGGGGUGAAAUCCUGGAGCUCAACUCCAGAACUGCCUUUGAUACUGGGGAUCUCGAGUCCGGAAGAGGUGAGUGGAACUCCGAGUGUAGAGGUGAAAUUCGUAGAUAUUCGGAAGAACACCAGUGGCGAAGGCGGCUCACUGGUCCGGUACUGACGCUGAGGUGCGAAAGCGUGGGGGAGCAAACAGGG